rnacentral:rRNA from 1 species
AUUGAACGCUGGCGGCAGGUCUAACACAUGCAAGUCGAGCGGCAGCGGGAAAGUAGCUUGCUACUUUUGCCGGCGAGCGGCGGACGGGUGAGUAAUGCCUGGGAAAUUGCGCAGUCGAGGGGGAUAACAGUUGGAAACGACUGCUAAUACCGCAUACGCCCUACGGGGGAAAGCAGGGGACCUGCGGGCCUUGCGCGACUGGAUAUGCCCGGGGGGGAUUAGCCAGUUGGUGAGGUAAUGGCGCACCAAGGCAACGAUCCCUAGCUGGUCUGAGAGGAUGAUCAGCCACACUGGAACUGAGACACGGUCCAGACUCCUACGGGAGGCAGCAGUGGGGAAUAUUGCACAAUGGGGGAAACCCUGAUGCAGCCAUGCCGCGUGUGUGAAGAAGGCCUUCGGGUUGUAAAGCACUUUCGGCUAGGAGGAAAGGUUGAUGCCUAAUACGUAUCAACUGUGACGUUACUCGCAGAAGAAGCACCGGCUAACUCCGUGCCAGCAGCCGCCGUAAUAC